rnacentral:rRNA from 1 species
GUCGAGCGCGGGAAGCAAGCUGAUCCUCUUCGGAGGUGACGCUUGUGGAACGAGCGGCGGACGGGUGAGUAACACGUGGGCAACCUGCCUGUAAGACUGGGAUAACCCCGGGAAACCGGGGCUAAUACCGGAUAAUACUUUUCAUCACCUGAUGGAAAGUUGAAAGGUGGCUUUUAGCUACCACUUACAGAUGGGCCCGCGGCGCAUUAGCUAGUUGGUGAGGUAACGGCUCACCAAGGCAACGAUGCGUAGCCGACCUGAGAGGGUGAUCGGCCACACUGGGACUGAGACACGGCCCAGACUCCUACGGGAGGCAGCAGUAGGGAAUCUUCCGCAAUGGACGAAAGUCUGACGGAGCAACGCCGCGUGAGUGAUGAAGGUUUUCGGAUCGUAAAGCUCUGUUGUUAGGGAAGAACAAGUGCCGUUCGAAUAGGGCGGCACCUUGACGGUACCUAACCAGAAAGCCCCGGCUAACUACGUGCCAGCAGCCGCGGUAAUACGUAGGGGGCAAGCGUUGUCCGGAAUUAUUGGGCGUAAAGCGCGCGCAGGCGGUCCUUUAAGUCUGAUGUGAAAGCCCACGGCUCAACCGUGGAGGGUCAU